rnacentral:tRNA from 1 species
UGGGCCUGUGGUCUAGCGGUAUGACGCCACACUCACACUGUGGAUGUCGCAGGUUCAAAUCCUGCCGGGCCCAA